AGAGUUUGAUCCUGGCUCAGGACGAACGCUGGCGGCGUGCCUAAUACAUGCAAGUCGAACGCUUCCUACCGGUGCUUGCACCGGGAAAGAAGAGUGGCGGACGGGUGAGUAACACGUGGGUAACCUACCUACAAGCGGGGGAUAACAUUCGGAAACGGAUGCUAAUACCGCAUAGAUCUUUUUGUCCCCUGGCAGAAAGAAGAAAGACGGUUUCGGCUGUCACUUGUAGAUGGACCCGCGGCGCAUUAGUUAGUUGGUGAGGUAAUGGCUCACCAAGACGAUGAUGCGUAGCCGACCUGAGAGGGUGAUCGGCCACACUGGGACUGAGACACGGCCCAGACUCCUACGGGAGGCAGCAGUAGGGAAUCUUCCGCAAUGGACGAAAGUCUGACGGAGCAACGCCGCGUGAGUGAAGAAGGUUUUCGGAUCGUAAAACUCUGUUGUUAGAGAAGAACAAGGAUGAGAGUAACUGCUCAUCCCUUGACGGUAUCUAACCAGAAAGCCAUGGCUAACUACGUGCCAGCAGCCGCGGUAAUACGUAGAUGGCAAGCGUUGUCCGGAUUUAUUGGGCGUAAAGCGAGCGCAGGCGGUUCUUUAAGUCUGAUGUGAAAGCCCCUGGCUCAACCAGGGAGGGUCAUUGGAAACUGGAGAACUUGAGUGCAGAAGAGGAAAGUGGAAUUCCAUGUGUAGCGGUGAAAUGCGUAGAUAUAUGGAGGAACACCAGUGGCGAAGGCGACUUUCUGGUCUGUAACUGACGCUGAGGCUCGAAAGCAUGGGGAGCAAACAGGAUUAGAUACCCUGGUAGUCCAUGCCGUAAACGA
rnacentral:rRNA from 1 species